UUUUCAGUUCCAUGAAUUUCAACAACAAACAAAAGCCACAUCAUAGUUAUUCUUAAUCUGUGUCAUAGCCACAUUCAUUCUCAUUCACACGCGUAUGCAAAAUAGAUGUUUAACACGGAUGACGAAUCUUGUAAAUUAAUUGGAUAGUGCAACUACUCUACAUACGAAGCAUGGGGAAUAAUUGAAACUCUAAGUACUCUUUCAUCUAGCCCGAGUCAAGAACAGAGUCUGCUUCUAAAUUUUUGCCCAAUUUGACCAGAGUUCAGCUCGAUGGGAUGAUUUCUAAAAAUUGGUGUGAGGGUCCCUUCAGAUGUACUUUUUCCAUUUCAAUUAAUGUUCUUCUAGUCACCUUGCGAGUACCGUUUAUGAAUGGAAAUGGACAACUUUGAUAAAGAUCUCUAUUACUUUAUGAUUUUAAGAAUGUAUAUAAAUUACGAAUUUAUUUUCUUGUGUAUAUUUUAUUUCCGGUUCAUUACUACACAGGAAUACACAUGUGUUACUAAAUACAUAUGCAUUUUGGUAAUACAAAUGGUAUUAAUAUAUAAGCAAAAAGAGUA